AUUGAACGCUGGCGGCAGGCCUAACACAUGCAAGUCGAACGAGUGGCGGACGGGUGAGUAAUGUCUGGGAAACUGCCUGAUGGAGGGGGAUAACUACUGGAAACGGUAGCUAAUACCGCAUACCAUCGGAUGUGCCCAGAUGGGAUUAGCUAGUAGGUGGGGUAACGGCUCACCUAGGCGCCUAUCCCUAGCUGGUCUGAGAGGAUGACCAGCCACACGUGAACGGAGACCCGUUCCAGACUCAUACGGGAGGCAGCAGUUGGGAAUAUUGCACAAUUGGCGCAAGCCUUAUGCAGCCAUGCCGCGUGUAUGAAGAAGGCCUUCGGGUUGUAAAGUACUUUCAGCGGGGAGGCGUUACCCGCAGAAGAAGCACCGGCUAACUCCGUGCCAGCAGCCGCGGUAAUUC
rnacentral:rRNA from 1 species